rnacentral:rRNA from 1 species
GACGAACGCUGGCGGCGUGCUUAACACAUGCAAGUCGAACGGAAAGGCCCUGCUUUUGUGGGGUGCUCGAGUGGCGAACGGGUGAGUAACACGUGAGUAACCUGCCCUUGACUUUGGGAUAACUUCAGGAAACUGGGGCUAAUACCGGAUAGGAGCCCCUGCUGCAUGGUGGGGGUUGGAAAGUUUCGGCGGUUGGGGAUGGACUCGCGGCUUAUCAGCUUGUUGGUGGGGUAGUGGCUUACCAAGGCUUUGACGGGUAGCCGGCCUGAGAGGGUGACCGGCCACAUUGGGACUGAGAUACGGCCCAGACUCCUACGGGAGGCAGCAGUGGGGAAUAUUGCACAAUGGGCGGAAGCCUGAUGCAGCAACGCCGCGUGCGGGAUGACGGCCUUCGGGUUGUAAACCGCUUUCGCCCGUGACGAAGCGUGAGUGACGGUAAUGGGUAAAGAAGCACCGGCUAACUACGUG